rnacentral:rRNA from 1 species
UAGGGAAUCUUCAGCAAUGGGGGCAACCCUGACCGAGCAACGCCGCGUGAGUGAAGAAGGUUUUCGGAUCGUAAAGCUCUGUUGUAAGAGAAGAACGUGUGUGAGAGUGGAAAGUUCACACAGUGACGGUAACUUACCAGAAAGGGACGGCUAACUACGUGCCAG